UGCACCGAAGCUGCGGCAGCGACACUCAGGUGUUGUUGGGUAGGGGAGCGUUCUGUAAGCCUGCGAAGGUGGCCUGUGAGGGUUGCUGGAGGUAUCAGAAGUGCGAAUGCUGACAUAAGUAACGAUAAAGCGGGUGAAAAGCCCGCUCGCCGGAAGACCAAGGGUUCCUGUCCAACGUUAAUCGGGGCAGGGUGAGUCGACCCCUAAGGCGAGGCCGAAAGGCGUAGUCGAUGGGAAACGGGUUAAUAUUCCCGUACUUGGUGUUACUGCGAAGGGGGGACGGAGAAGGCUAUGUUGGCCGGGCGACGGUUGUCCCGGUUUAAGCGUGUAGGUGUGUGUUCCAGGUAAAUCCGGUU
rnacentral:rRNA from 1 species